AAUGACUUGGGUUUUCUUUGUUAAAGAAAAUCAGAGGUGCUGCCCAUAUUUAAGAAGUUCAAGUUUUCUAUUGAAAAGCAAAGUGGACAUGCAAUUAAGAUUUUAUGGACAGAUCAUGGUCGUGAAUUUGUUUCCACAGAAUUUGAUAAAUUAUGUGAAGAAUUGGGAAUUCGAAGGCAAUUGAUAGCUAGUUAUACUCCGCAACAAAAUGGAGUGGCAAAAAGAAUGAAUCAAAGUCUUGUAGAAAUGGCCAAAAAUAUGUUAAAGGCCAAAUGUCUUCCUAAGUGUUUUUGGGCAAAAGCUGUUCAUACUGCUGCUUACCUCCUCAACCGGAGUCCUACAUUAGCACUGUCCAAUCAAACUCCUUUUAAAGCAUGGCAUGGGUGGAAACCAAAAGUAACACAUUUUAAAAUUUUCGGUUGUGUUGUUUAUGUGUUAG
rnacentral:misc_RNA from 1 species